rnacentral:rRNA from 1 species
UAGGAGUGCCUCAAGCGUUAUCCGGAAUUAUUGGGCGUAAAGGGUAUGUAGGUGGUUUUGUUAGUCUUCUGUUAAAUUUCUCGGCUUAACCGAGAGCAUGCAGGGGAAACGGCAAGACUUAGAGUAUGCGAGGGGUCUGUGGAACUCAUGGUGUAGCAGUGAAAUGCGUUGAUAUCAUGGGGAACACCGAAAGCGAAGGCAGCAGACUGGAGCAUUACUGACACUGAAAUACGAAAGCGUGGGUAGCGAAUGGG